GCUUAAGUUUCAACAGAGUGUCAAACGCACGCUUGUUUUAUCCCAUGAAUGUCGAAAACAGUCCAAACACAUUCCAAAUAGACAAACUGUGUACUUUUGACACUCAAUAUGCUUUUGAUCUUUUGUGUACUUAUUAUUAUGGUCCUAGUAGGGCAUUAUAUUUGUUUAUUUUCUUACAUACCAUUAAAAAUGUCAAAUUGCUACAUAGGCUGGAAAAUUAAAAUUUAUGUUUAAAAUUUACAUCUUCUUUGAAAGAGUAAUGCUAGGGAGAUUAAAUUUGUAGACAAAAUUUUGGAAACUAAAAGACAUGGAAGUUAAUGAUUGGUUUAUUAUUUAAGCGUCGAUAAACAUGCUCAUUGCUAUUGGUGACACAUCAUUUAAUUUGCAAAUUUAUUUUCCAAAUUUUGACUCCCUAGCAUUAUGCCUGGCAAUUUCUGACACGACCCGUUAACUCGACACAAACCAGCACGAAAUUAACAGGUAACGAAUUGAAUCGUAAUUAGGUAACCCGAUAAGCAUAUGUUAAGAUGACGGGUUGGUCCAAUUAUACAUGUGGGUAUCCCGUUACACGAUAAGAAAAAUAUUAAUUUAAUAAUUUUAUACCACUAUAAAAACUAUACUUAAUAGAAGUAGGAUUUAAUCCAGAACUGAGUUGAAAGUUAAUAUAUAUAUAUAUAUGUGUGUGUGUGUGUGUUUUUUUUUUUAAAAUUAAAUUUAAAAAAUUGAUGACCAUUGGAUUGGCUAAGAUUUAAUCU
rnacentral:lncRNA from 1 species